rnacentral:tRNA from 1 species
GCCCGGAUGGAGGAAUUGGCAGACUCACAAGACUUAAAAUCUUGUGUCCCGUGAGGGACGUGCCGGUUCGACCCCGGCUCCGGGCA